CUCAGUUCAGUGCGAGCUGUCAUCUCGACUGCGCGGUCACUUGACAGUUGGACCCUGGAAGAAGCGGGCGCAGGAUAGGCGUGGUGAAGUCACAGAGCCUAAUAUUCAUUCAGCGUUGAAGCAAAUGGAUCUCGGUCUCAACUGCUAACACCGUUGCCGAGGUACUACAAAGCGCUCCUACGACAGAUAUAGGCUGCAAUAGUCUUCUAAUUUGUACUGCUAUGAAGUGCCAUCUCCAUUGCCGAGAUACUGCAAAAUGCGCAUGCGACUGAUAGAGGCUGCCUUAGUCUUCCGCCCGUAUUUCAGAAUCGGACACAAACACACGUACACACACCAUAUGGUGAAAAUCGUGCACGCUGUUACUAUGAUUUUUUGAAACAUUUUAUACCUACAUGUUAUAUUUUUACGCAUUUAACUUUUGAUUGUGAUCGUACGUGUUCCCUUUUCAAAUUGUAUACAGAAAUUUACCGUUUUUAAUUUGUUUUCAAAUGUUACCUCAAGGGUUGAUCUCGAUCAUUUUCAAAUCAAUUCAUGGGAUAAGUUCAGAUGUAUCUGAUUCUAUCUGAAAUUCAUUCAUUUUCUCUCCAAUAUUCUUAUUUUAUGCAAAAAUGGAAUUCAAAGUGUUUACAUAUUGCACCUUUCAAUUUUGGAAGUAAAAACGCAAUUUUCACCAUAUCGUUAAUUGAAACUCCAGUAAGACUGCUUACCAAUUUCAUCAACUACCAUAUCAUUUAUCGAAACAAUUGCCUUUGAAGUAAAUUUUGUAUGUUACAUUAUCUGGAAACGUAAUCAUCUGACACCUUUUGAUGAUUAACAUAUUUGCCUGAAUAAAUUUAAAUGCUUUUUAAUUUUUUUAAUUUUUGGAAGAGUUAUUUUGAUAUAAAAGGUUCAGAAUUAAAAGUUUGUUGAUAGUGAUGUAUUUUUAGAAUCUAUCAUCUGUUUGAUUUAAAGUGCAUUCAAUUGCUUAUUAAAAUUCAAUCAAA